AUGAAAUAGUGUUUCUGAUCUCAAAAGAAAUGUAUGGUCAUCAUAGAAUAUUAUCAGUACUGAAUUAAAAGUUAACAAGAUUAUAAUGCAAUUUUUGGAAAACUGUACAGUGGCUGCUUUGAACUCCAGCCUAAAGCAUUCAGCCAGAACUGAAGGUUCCAUUCUUUGGAUGGCUGUCUAACCUGAUUUCCCGCUCGUUGUUUCCCUUGUCCAACGUGUGAACCUGUCUGCAGAGCAGAGUGCCCAGAGGCAGACACAGGACUCUACCCAAAGCCUCCCUGCUGCC
rnacentral:lncRNA from 12 species